rnacentral:lncRNA from 1 species
UCUUGAACCACCAUGACAUGGCAACGUUUCUGUCAUUGUCUGCUGUGUUAUAAAGGGCCAAUUCAACUCAACAGGGGAGAAAUACUCGCAGGUCUGGUGGAAGUGUAACUAAUACAGACUGUGCUGAGGAGCUACCAUGCAUUGCUAAUGAGAGACAUGCAGCCAGGAAGUUGUACGCAACACUCACAAGGCUCCUGAAGCUGUAUGCAGCUACCAAGCUUGAUGUCUCCUGCUCUUUUCCUAUUUUACAUUGCAUUAUUUUAAGUAAUGAGUGCAAUUAUCUAACCUCUAAAGGAUUUAAACACACUGUAGAAAUACACAGUUGUAAGAUGCCCCGUAAUCAAAGCCAUUAAUUUGGAUAAAUUCCCUUUUUCCAUCUUAUACUGAAAUGAACAUUGUAGGAAAGCUCAGUUUAAUGAUACCGUGGAGUAUAUUCUUGCUUCAUUCACUGCUGUCCACUUUGCAAGGAUCUUAUUGCAAGCUUCCUCUUUUGAGAAGAACUUUGAGAACUGAGUCUAAUGCAACUAGACAGAAAAGAGAUCUUGUAACAGCCGAGGUAGGUUAUACCUCCAAAAGAAGGAGGGUGGGGAAACCCUCCUCCCUUUUCUGCUCUGGGCCUUUG